AGCAGCGGCGCCCGCGCAACCUGCCGUGCGGCCACGUGCUGUGCCUGGCCUGCGUCGCCGCCCUGGCGCACCCGCGCUCUCUGGCGCUCGAGUGCCCGUUCUGCCGACGGGCUUGCCGCGCGUGCGACACCAGCGACUGCCUGCCCGUGCUGCACCUCCUAGAGCUGCUGGGCGCCCCCGGGCCUCCGGGCCUCGCCGCGCCCGCCGCCGCCCCCCGGGCCCUCGCCUGCCACCAGGCCUUCGGCGGCUGGGGGACCCUGGUGAACCCCACGGGGCUGGCGCUGUGCCCCGAGACCGGCCGGGUCGUGGUGGUGCACGACGGCCGGAGGCGGGUGAAGGUCUUCGACUCUGGAGGGGGCGUAUGCGCGCACCAGUUCGGAGAGAAGGGGCACGCGGCGCAGGACGUUCGGUACGCGCUGGACGUCGCCGUCACCUCCGACUGCCACGUGGUUGUGACCGACGCCGGUGACCGCUCUGUCAAAGUGUUUGACUUUUUGGGCCAGGUCCGGCUUGUCAUUGGAGGCCAGUUCUCCUUACCUUGGGGCGUGGAGGCCACACCUCAGAACGGGGUCCUGGUCACUGAUGCCGAGGCGGGGUCCCUGCACCUCGUGGAAGCGGACUUCCCCGAAGGGGUCCUGCGGAGAAACGAAAGGCUGCACGCUCAUCUGUGCAGCCCCCGGGGGGUGGCCGUGUCGUGGCUCAGCGGGGCCAUCGCCGUCCUGGAGCACCCCCUGUCCCCGGGGACCCGGCCCUGCAGCACCAGGGUGAAAGUGUUCAGCGCGGACAUGCAGCUUCUCAGCCAGGUGGACACCUUCGGGCUGAGCCUCUUCUUUCCCUCCCCAAUAACUGUCUCCGCUGUGACCUUUGAUCGGCUGGGGAACGUGAUUGUGGCCGAUACCUCCGGCCCAGCCAUCCUCUGCUUAGGAAAACCCGAGGAUUUCCCAGUGCUGAAGCCCGUGGUCACCCAGGGGCUGGCCCACCCUGUGGCACUGGCCUUCACCAAGGAGAAUUCACUGCUUGUGCUGGACACUGCGUCCCAUUCUGUAAAAGUCUACAAGGCCCCUGGGAUGACCACAAACUUCUUGAAUUGAAGGGUGACCUUACCCAGGUCAACUUUGUUCCAUGGCCUCUGCUGGGAUGUCUUCUUUCACAAAUAACAUGCAGGUUUGCACGCAUGCUCACCCAGAGAACACAGUGAUGUCCCCAAAUUGACCAACUGACCCUAGCCAGGUGACCAUUCUCUUCCAUUGCUGGAUAAGUAAGCCCUAAUGGGUUCAGAGCCACAUGGCUCAGUCAUUAAAGGUGGCAGGCAACUCCAUUCAGUUUCAUGGUCGUCACAUAUGUGCCAGCAGUGCCCAGCCUUGUCAUACAAAGAAGCCUUUGGAUACAGGGAGCACAAAGAACAUAGCUGACAUUUUCAUGAUACUUAUUUCAAACAGCUGUUUAUAUGACCUUUAUAGCAUCUCUUGAGGUAGAUAAGGUUUUAUUAAGAUGAUUUUCCAGGUAAAGCACUUAACACAGAAAUGGAAUGACUUGCCGCAGAUGAUAUAGCUGAUUCCUGGUAUUUUGGGUUUCAGGAGAGUGGCGAGUCUAUGGACAGUCAGAGUUGGGCAUCACUGCUCUGGAGAACUAACAGAUAUACUAGACAUCCCUCUGUGGUAAACUUACUGUUCAAACUGUUUUCUGACAACCCCCAGUAAUGUUCAGGGGUGAGAAAAGGCUGCACCUUUCUCAGAGCUAAGUUCAACUCAUGUACACCAGUCCUGUCCAUUUCUGAGUGUCACAUGAUCUACACAACAGUCCCUUCUGUGAGGUGGGAUGGGAAGAGAUCUGUUUAAGGCAGGAGUUACGACUUGAUUGUAGGGGAAGAUGGAGUGAUGGGUCAAGUUCUGCUAUUUCCCUGAACCAAAUGUCUUUGCUUAUUUGUUUUCUUAAAGGAAAUGAGCUUGUG
rnacentral:lncRNA from 1 species